AGCGGCCGCUCUGGUUGAUCCCGGCAGAAGCCACUGCUAUUGGGUCCGAUUAAGCCAUGCAAGUCGAACGAUCUUCGGAUCGUGGCAAACAGCUCAGUAACACGUGGAUAACCUACCAUUAGGACCGGGAUAACCCUGGGAAACUGGGGAUAAUACCGGAUAUAUGGAGAUACCUGGAAUGGUUCUCCGCUUAAAGCUCCGGCGCCUAAGGACGGGUCUGCGGCCUAUCAGGUAGUAGUGGGUGUAGCGUACCUACUAGCCUACGACGGGUACGGGUUGUGAGAGCAAGAGCCCGGAGAUGGAUUCUGAGACACGAAUCCAGGCCCUACGGGGUGCAGCAGGCGCGAAAACUUUACAAUGCUGGCAACAGCGAUAAGGGGACCUCGAGUGCCAGGAUACAAUCUUGGCUGUCGUGAUGCCUAAAAAGCAUUGCAUAGCAAGGGCCGGGCAAGACCAGUGCCAGCCGCCGCGGUAACACCGGCGGCUCGAGUGGUAACCGCUAUUAUUGGGUCUAAAGGGUCUGUAGCCGGCCGGAUAAGUCUCCUGGGAAAUCCAGCAGCUCAACUGUUGGGCUUUCAGGUGAUACUGUUCGGCUCGAGACCGGGAGAGGUGAGAGGUACUUCAGGGGUAGGGGUGAAAUCUUGUAAUCCUUGAAGGACCACCAGUGGCGAAGGCGUCUCACCAGAACGGAUCUGACGGCAAGGGACGAAAGCUAGGGGCACGAACCGGAUUAGAUACCCGGGUAGUCCUAGCCGUAAACGAUACUCGCUAGGUAUCGGCCACGGUGCGACCGUGGUCGGUGCCGUAGGGAAGCCGUGAAGCGAGCCACCUGGGAAGUACGGCCGCAAGGCUGAAACUUAAAGGAAUUGGCGGGGGAGCACUACAACGGGUGGAGCCUGCGGUUUAAUUGGAUUCAACGCCGGAAAGCUUACCGGGAUCGGCAGCGAUAUGAAGGCCAGGCUGAAGACCUUGCCGGAUUAGCUGAGAGAUGGUGCAUGGCCGUCGUCAGUUCGUACUGUGAAGCAUCCUGUUAAGUCAGGCAACGAGCGAGACC
rnacentral:rRNA from 1 species